rnacentral:tRNA from 1 species
GGCCGUGUGGCGUAAUGGCAGCGCGUCUGACUACGAAUCAGGAGGCUGCAGGUUCGACCCCUGCCUCGGUCA